rnacentral:lncRNA from 1 species
UGAGAACCUUUUAAUAUUCCAUCUACAUAAUUGUACUAUUCCAAGGCCCCCUACAUUAAUACAAUUUUAGCUGAGGCAUAUGUACUAUGUAUGUUUAGACUGUAAAUAAUCCUGAAUUCUCCAUCUUGCAAAUUCAUUCAAUAUCAUUUCCUGGGCCGAAAACUGAUAAUCUAUAAAAAAGAACGGGGACCGAAUGCCGAGACCGAUAACGCUGAACAGAGAUCGAAACCGGCGAAAUAAAAUAACCAAGUAUGGAACAGAUAGAAUUGCUGAAUCUGAACCGGGAAUAACCAUACUCAAAACCUUCAUGUAACGAGACAAGUGUUACAUAAUGAUUAAUGACUAUGUGUAUAUAAAGACUUAGACUAUGAAUAGUGACGUUCAUAAAAGAUAAGUGACAUUCAUAAUAUAUUCAGAAGCAAUCAUGUAAAGAAAAGUGGAUAUUUAUGUACAAUAAUAGUUGUUCAAUACUUAAGGUAUUGACAAGUGUUCAAAUCAAUCCAGAAUAACUAAAUAACAAACAUUUUAUCAAAAUAAGUAGGCUACUUUUGUGACCUUAAGUAUAAGGUGUCUUGCUUAUAAUAGGUUUGUUUUUUUCAUAAAUGUAUGUAUAAAUAUAGUUGGGCUAAUCAACUUUUAUAAGUCACGAGCAAUAGAUCCAAUUAGACACGUUCAAAUGUCCUUAAGUUUGCCAUCUGUAUUUCUAUAUUAUUUAACAAUAUUUUCUACUCUUGGGAAGCCUGGGGUUCAACUGCAAUAUUAAAAAGACAUACGUCGACACAAGUUCCAAAAACAUGUGACAUAACUUUCUUUCGAAAUGGUGACCUUUAGCCUUGACCAGAGCCCAAAGUAUAUCUGGAAAGGGCAUGCAUACUGCACACACCAUAUCACAGGGAUGGAGUCCCAUGCACCCACAAGUUUGGUCUUCAGGUUAUCCAAAUUCUUGCUGGGGAUCACACUGGCUCUGCUUUCAAGAAUGGACCACUGGGAGUAAUCCAUGACUUUAGGUCAGAGCUGGAGGGGGCUAUAUUGUCUUGUACUUGUUGAAUUUUCUUUUAAAAUCUUAAGUACCCCCUGGUGUACCUCCAAAUAUCCAAAGGGGUAACACCAUUUAAGAACCCCCAAGAUCUUGAAACAAUUGAAGAUUGGCCAUGGUGCUCCUCAGACGAGAAUAAUAAUUCGCCGUCAACACCCUCAGCCACAGGAGGAGGAACAGGUGGAUCUCAGAGAGCAAGAAAACUGUUCUUCUGAUGAUUAACAAGGUGGUAACAUCGCACCCGUGUUGGUUCCAACAGUAUUCUAUGCCGGCGCAUGACACCAAAAUUUCCAAGAUUCCAUCCAAGACAAUUUUUCAGCUUUAUUGGACGUCAAGACCUGGUACUCAGCUCUCCCAACAUAAAAUCCUUGGAAUUCCAUGUCUAGAGACACUUAGAGGACAAGACCUGGAUCAAGUCCCACUCCUUCGUAAAUCCUAGCAUCGUGCAUGAGGCCAAGAAGGUAGAUCUUGCUCAGGCCAGAAACGUAUGUCCCACUUUGGGUAAAUAAUUGAUUGCGGAUUGGUGGAUAAAGGUACCCGAAUCGAAAUAAAUUACAUUUCUAUACUUAUAUUAUUAAAUAAAUGUCGUAGAACUUUGA